rnacentral:RNase_P_RNA from 1 species
GGUAGGGGCGGUUUUAGCUGACGAUGGACAUUUAUUUGUCUGUUGAGGAAAGUCCACCCACUAUAAAGUUGAGUUUUUGUAUGAAAGCUUAACUGGAAGAAAGUCACUCCUGUUAUGGGAGAGGGAGAAAUCCCUGGCUCUGGCUCAGAAACGACACGUCCAUGGACGAGGAUGAAAAUGGCGAAGCUUGUUGAGAAACAAGUGAGUUAACCCGUAGACGUUGUUCAUGGGAGCGAUGAAACGGCGAAACCUGACUGGUGCAAGACAGUAUGUCGCUUAGUAGAAUGCUAAAAAGUUCGUCCGAUUACGGGAAAUAACAAAAGGUGGCUUAUCCCGCCCUACC